UCAAUCGUCUGCUACCAUGCAGUCGAGCGGUAGCACAGAGAGCUUGCUCUCGGGUGACGAGCGGCGGACGGGUGAGUAAUGUCUGGGAAACUGCCUGAUGGAGGGGGAUAACUACUGGAAACGGUAGCUAAUACCGCAUAACGUCGCAAGACCAAAGUGGGGGACCUUCGGGCCUCAUGCCAUCAGAUGUGCCCAGAUGGGAUUAGCUAGUAGGUGGGGUAACGGCUCACCUAGGCGACGAUCCCUAGCUGGUCUGAGAGGAUGACCAGCCACACUGGAACUGAGACACGGUCCAGACUCCUACGGGAGGCAGCAGUGGGGAAUAUUGCACAAUGGGCGCAAGCCUGAUGCAGCCAUGCCGCGUGUAUGAAGAAGGCCUUCGGGUUGUAAAGUACUUUCAGCGGGGAGGAAGGCGAUAAGGUUAAUAACCUUGUCGAUUGACGUUACCCGCAGAAGAAGCACCGGCUAACUCCGUGCCAGCAGCCGCGGUAAUACGGAGGGUGCAAGCGUUAAUCGGAAUUACUGGGCGUAAAGCGCACGCAGGCGGUCUGUCAAGUCGGAUGUGAAAUCCCCGGGCUCAACCUGGGAACUGCAUUCGAAACUGGCAGGCUAGAGUCUUGUAGAGGGGGGUAGAAUUCCAGGUGUAGCGGUGAAAUGCGUAGAGAUCUGGAGGAAUACCGGUGGCGAAGGCGGCCGCCUGGACAAAGACUGACGCUCAGGUGCGAAAGCGUGGGGAGCAAACAGGAUUAGAUACCCUGGUAGUCCACGCCGUAAACGAUGUCGAUUUGGAGGUUGUGCCCUUGAGGCGUGGCUUCCGGAGCUAACGCGUUAAAUCGACCGCCUGGGGAGUACGGCCGCGAGGUUAAAACUCACAUGAAUUGACGGGGCACGCACAGGCGGUGCAGCAUGUGGUUUAAUUCAUGCAACGCUAGAACCUUACCUGGUCUUGACAUCCACAGGACGUAGCCAGACAUGGCUUGGUGCCUUCGGUAACUGUGACACAGUGCUACAUGGCUGUCCUCACUCGUCCUGGUUGAAAUGUUCGGUUAAAGUCCGACAACGAUCGCAAUCCAUUAUCCUUUGUUGGCAGCGGUCAUGCUGCGAUCGUCGAAGAAUACCUGCCAGGUCGAUCAACCUGGAGGAGAUGGGCAUGGACUUUCGAGUGCAUCGUGAGCGUGACGAUCAGCUCUACCCACAUUGCUGAAUACUGCGCCUA
rnacentral:rRNA from 1 species